rnacentral:lncRNA from 1 species
CCACAGCCUCCUGGCUCAGCAACACUGACUCCACCUCUAGUCCUAGAGCUGGGGCCCCUGGACAAGGGACCCCCAGCUGUAGCCCUCCACCAUGGCCAGAGCCCCACCACACGACAGAGAAACCUCUCCAAGGACAGCAAGGCCGGAAGAGGCUCCCCUUUGGCAAAAACCAAGCUGUGCCUGGUCUUGUGCACCUGGUCCCACCUAGAGGGAUGGAAGGAGGCAGGCACUCUGGGAAGGACGUUUGAGGCAAUGGGCUCUUCUGCCCAGACCAUUGAUGGCCAGGCAUUCUUGGGAGGUAGUGUCUCCUGUUUUCUGGGCAAGAAUGGAGUCUGAGAACAGAGACAUAGAAGAUGCUGGCCACUUCUCCAGUGCAACUAAGCUGAUCCUAACACCUUGGAUUGACACUCCCCUAGGAUACAUGGAUAGUCACAGCCUCUCUCUGGAUCCCAGCUUCCCAGCUAAACCUCUGUAAAUGCCCCUAAGCUGGGCCUGAACCUCUGUCACAGAGCUUUUGUAGCCCAGGAACAAACCUGAGGGCUCAGCAAAGCUCCAACAUGCCCAGUGCUGACAACAGACUGGCAUGGAGCAGAUGGUAUCUUGGGGGACAUGCAGUGACAUCAUGGAGGCUCACAAGAGGACUGCAAGGAGGUUACAGAGAAACCCAAGCACAACCCAAGAAAUUGGACCAACCAAGGUGUAAAAUCCGAUGCCCAGGGCUAAGGAGACAGACUAUCCAAAGGCCACAGAUGUCCUAUUUUUCAGGCUUCUUGUUGCAAGUUGUAGAAACACAGCACACAAAAACUGAGACAAAAAGGAUGUAUUGGCUCACGGCACCCAAGGACAGGUAUUCAACCAGCUUCCAGAACAACCAGCAUUCAUCUGCUCAAACUGUGACAACUAAGUGUAUACUUAGGGCCAGGUGCUGUCCCAGAAGUUUGCAGGGAAACAAUAAGAAAACCACAGGAAGUAUCAGGAAGGGGCAGGUGUCCACCACACAACAGUGUGAGGGAGCAAAACAGAGUAUUGAAUUAGGUGACAAGGGAAGCCCCCAAAGAAGAAUAUUUAGUCCCAAAUCAGUGCUGGGACCCCUUGGAGAUACACUCUCCCUGCUGAGUUCAACCUUCUUCUCUCACAACCUGGAAGAAAAUGAGAACUGCAGAUCAGACUGA